AAUACUACUCUUCUCCCAUUGAGGUCAGUGAGACCUGUGGUGUCAGCUUCUUGGUAUGCAACCAAAAGAGAAAAGGAAAUGAGUUUUCAAAGAAAAUUGAAUUUAUCUCUUUUCACUGCCCCAAAGAUUUAGUAGAUGUUAAUGGCUUAAUAUAGUUUUUAUUAACUGAAUUAAUUUUUUAAUGAAAAGAAUUUAAAUAAUUAUUUAAAAAUAUGGAGAUAUGGUGUCUUAACUCAGAGGUGUGAGUUAUUGACAUCAUAAUGGGGAAGAUAUGUAAGUAAGCUCUCGGUAAGUCUUCCAACCACUAACUGUCAGUAACUGCCUACUAUUUCAUUUUCCACUGUUACAUGUCAGCAUUUUCUUACUAUUUUUAACAGCACCAUUCUUUAAUAGCACCAUUUUUAUAAAAUAUACAAUAUUGAAAAUAAGUGGAAUAUAACCCACAAGUAGUGUAAAUACUUUAAUAUUUAGUUUUCUGCUAUAGUAAUGCCACAUAAUCAACAAUUUCAAAAUCUCAGUAAUUUAAAGUAACAAAUGAUUAUGGUUUUUGCUCCCAAGUCUGCAGGUUAUUUGGGUUAGCCUCUCCUUCAUGCUGUGGUUUACCUGAGCUUGACUCCUGGCUGUGGGGGUGAAGUCACAUCUGAUCCACUUUCUUCAAUCAGUGGCUACUCAAGGUAUGUUCUUUUCAUGGUGCAAGGCAGAAAUACAAGGGAACAAGUCUUUGAAAGUACAUCUAAAACCUUUGCUUGCCUCAAUAUGCAAGCAUUCCACUGGUCAAAACAAGACACAUGGUCAAGCUCAAUAUCAAUUGGCUGAGUGGGAAAAUGUACUCUAUAUUAUAAUAGGAAUUGUAAAGUCAUAUGGCAAAAGACAUGGGUGUUUAUUUCUUUAACAUUAACAGCUAAAGAGUUUGGAGUAACAAUCCAAAUGAAAAAUAUCAAAGACAAAUAAAAUAAAAAAAACUAAACGUGAAUUUUAUCAUGGACACUUCAGGACAAAUAUGAUAUUCUGAAUCAGCAACAUAUUAGACAUUACAUACACGUGCAUACUUUCCUCUACAGCAAUUCUAAGAUUUUAUAAUUUCCUUUUAUAAUUAAUUAUUUUAGUUAGUAAUAACUCUUAGUGAUAGUACAAUCUGGGGUCACCUGACCUAGAAAUCUUCAACAUGUGCAUGUGAUGAAUAUUUAUUGUAUAUAGCUGUCAAGCAUCUUUUCCUCCUUUUUUGGUAACUGUGCAUCACCUUCCUAUUAAGAAACCACCUGGAGGCCAUGUUUCACCCAUUCUGUGAAGACACAGCUGACCUCAUAUCUCAUCUCCAGGGGUCUAUGUGGUAGGGAACUGAAGCCUCCUGUCAACAUCUAUGUGAGUGAGUAAACUGGAAAGCAGAUCCUUUAUCCCUAAAUGACUGCAAUACUGGUCAACAGCUUGACUACAGCCUAUGAGAUGCCUGAGAUAGAACUUUCCUGUUAAGCUUCAUCAGAAUCUUGACCCUCAGAAACUGUGUGAGGAUUCUUGCCCCUUCACUCCAUGAAGAAUUCCAGUCUGCAUCCACAAAAGGUAUUUCCUCCUUCCUUACCCUACCACUAGAUUUAGCCUUCCUCUGUUGGCACUUUUAGCAUGCUUUGCAUAUUCCUAGUAUCCAACAUUUGUUACAUUAUUUUGUCACUUGUUGCUUCAUUUGCUUCAUGAAAUCUUGAAGGACUGUGAAAUCUUGGAGGAUGGGGAUUUUUAUCUUGUUUAUAUUUGUAUAUCUAGUACUUGUAACUGAGAGAGAAUCAAUCUUCUUGCACAGAAUCUAUACCAACAUGGAAACAUAAUUCAAUAUGUUUUUUGAGUUACUAAAUGGAAAUUAUAUUUCUAUAAUGCUAGUGAACAACUCAGAUUUUACUGAAGAUUAAGUGGGAAAGUAGAGGUUACAUAAUAUUAGUAUGUAUCAAUUUUUCUCCAAAAAUCUUCACUAGCCAUCUCUUCCCAGAGUAUCUUCUUAGUUAACCUUUCUUAACCUUUUCCCUAAUCUCUCUCCAAACCUUCCUGUCUCCAACCUUCUAUGCUAUUGAUAUCUCUUUUUUUUAUAAUAAUGAACAAUUUAGCUGUAACUUUUCUUCUUUACUACUAUAUCCUAAUAUUCACUAUGCCACCUCAGCAUCUUUUAAAUCUAUGUGUUUUAAAUAAAGAGCAGAUUACCCUUACUACAAGGAUUUUCUUUUUUAAAAAUAUUUUCCCUCCACUUCUAAUAGAUAAUAAAAGUGCUUGUUUAAAGUAUGAAUGAUUGGGGCACCUGGGUGGCUCAAUGGGUCAAGCAGCUCACUCUUCAUUUUGGCUCAGAUCAUGAUCUCAGGGUCUUGAGAUGAAGCCCCGCAUCAGGCUCUGUGCUGGGUGUGGAUCCUGCUUAUGAUUCUCUCUCUCUCCUUCUCCCUCUACCCCUCCCCGCCUAUUCAUGUGCAUGCAUGUACUCUCUAUCUCAAAAAAUAAUAUAAUAAAAUAAAUAAAGCACGAGUGAUUAUAUAUUCAUUUUCAUGUUGUCCUUAUUGGAUUCUUCAGCUCUCAAGCUUCCUUGAUCUUCUAGUGUUAAUGGCUGCUGCCAACUAGAAGCAUCCUUGGUGAAUAUUUGUGUUUGUUGGGAUAUAGUAUACAUUGAAUGAAAAAAUAUAACAGUGGCCUAAAUGAGACAGAAACAUCUUUCCCUCUCAGAUAAUUAAAUGCAAAUAGAGACUAAAGGCUGCUUUGACAGGUAUGCUUCAUGAAGUUUUCUAGGGAUUUAGCAUUUACUAUAAUGUUGCUUUGCAAUAGAAAAUAGCCUUUAUCUUAUAUGAUCCCAAAUGUAUCAUCAUCACACUCACAUUCCAGGCAAUGGAAUGGAAAGAAUGGAACAAGAAAUGCAUAUCCCUUCCCUUAUAUAGUAAAGUACAGUUUCUCACAUUACUUUUGCAAACAUCUCAUUGGUCAGGAUGUAAUCAUCACUCUACAUUUAGCUGGAAGAGAGGCUGGGAGAUAUAGACUUUAUUCUAGUCAGCCAUUGGUCUAGUUACUGUAUACUUAAAAAUGAUUACAAUAGUACAUGUUAUCUGCAUUUUGCCAAAGUAGAAAAAUUGAAUUAGGAAAAGUCUUUGCUUAAGGCCAUGUCACAGAGAUUUUACCUGUGUUUUCUUCUAGCAAUUGUACAGUUUUAGGUUUUAUAUUUAAGUCUAUGAUACAUUUUAAGUUAAUUUUUUUCAUAUGAUGACAUAUAUAGAGCAAUUUUUUGGUUUAUGGCUAUCUAAUUGUUCUAGCAUCAUUUGCUGAAAUGCUUAUAUUGUUUUUAUGUAUAGAUUUUAUUUUAACUUUUUGGUUCAAUUAAACAUAUCAAUCUCUAAAAAAUCAUUCUCAGGGCCCCUGAGGGGCUUAGUUGGUUGAGCGUCCAACUCUUAAUCUUGGCUCAGGUUUGUGAGACUGAGCCCCACAUCUGGCUCUGCACUAACAGUGUGGAGCCUGCUUGGGAUUCUCUCUCUCUCUCAAAAUAAAUAAAUAAACUUAAAAAAUUAUCACUCUCUAUUAAAAUAUAUGUAUGAAAAUAUUUUUCUAUAUGGUCAUAUUUUAAAAAAUCUGUACAAGUAUGGUCACUUUUAUGGUAUUUCACGUUAAAAAGUGUAGAGUAUUAUAUGCCUGCAUGCUGAUAGUUGUUACCUCUAGAUUGUGAGGUUGUAAGAUGAUUUUUAUUUUCUUCUUUUUGCUUAUAUUAACAUAUUUGCUUUCUAAAAAAAAGGGCAGAGUUAAAUUGAGAAAUAACAAAUUUUAGUAAAAUAUUAAAAGUAUGUUUUGACUAUCUGUGUCAAUUCAUAGUCAUCUGUGACUAUUCAUAGAAUAAAAUUAAAAAAUGAGAAAAAAAAUAAAUAUUGGGGAUUCAUGUACUAUAAUAGAGAAGGGAAGAUUGGACACUUGCUGGGGACAACUGGUAUUUUUUUGCCACACUCUCCUGCUUCUUCAAAAUAUAUCCAUUCUGAUAGAGAAAUGGUAAAAAACUGUGAACAAUUUAUAGAAGGUAUAAAAAUAGCCCUCAGACAUAUAAAGAGAUGUUCAACUUUAUUCAUAAUAGGAGACAUUAAAAUUUAAACAAAUGAGAUGACAUGAGUGAAGAUAGUGAAGUAGGUAUCUCAAAAGUCAUAUGCUUCCACAGAAACACACAAAGGAAAUAUGAGUGAAAAUGGUAAGAAUCAAUAUUAAUAGAACUCUAGAAAAAUAGGCAAAGGUCUACAGCAACUAAGAACAUACCAAAUCAAGAAAGAAGCAACCCAAAAAACAGUAGGACAGCUUUAGUCAUGCACACUUCUCCAUGCACCACUUAGUCCCUCUUUAGCUCCACUGUGGUUUGAAAGAUGACAGCUCAUGUUUCCAACAUGGAACCCUGAUUCCUGAGUCCAGAAGGAGCAUACCAGACCCUGUUCUCAAAGAAAUUGUGUCUGUCUGUCUGACCUGAGAGUUGCCUGAAGAACUGCUGCAAGAUGCUGGUCUUUGUUUUUCCUCAGCAGAACGUCCUCAUGACAGAAAAGUGGCUACACGGAUGACAUUUCUCAAAAACACUGAAAAGAAAAUUAACCUGCUUCCAUCUGGAGCAAAAAAGGAAAGCUGUAAAGAUACAUGUAUAUGUAUGUAUGUUUUGAGAAUUACGGAAUUGAAAGUUUCUGUGUAAAUGGAGGGAUUUAGAAAGCCAUGCACAUACCCACAGCAGAAAUCAUGCUCAAAAAAAUCCUUGAGAAGACCUUAAGCUUUCGUCUCUGCCUGAUCUUUGAUAAGGAAUAUAAUCUUUACAAAAGUAGUACAGAGAAGUCACUAAACAAACAGCUGUAACCCAUUAAAUGAACAGAAACAAAUCAUGAGGAGGAGAUAUGAUUUCUAGAGUUAUUACAUUAUAAUAUUUCAAAAUGUUCAGUUUUCAUCAAAAAAAAUUAUGAAGCAUGCAAAGAAAUAAGAAAGUAUGAUUCAAUCACAGGAGAAUUUAACAGAAACUGUCCGUGAGGGAGCAGAGACACUGAAAUUACUAGAUAAAGUCAAAGAGCUAAAGGAACCAUGCCCAAAGAAUUAAAGGGAACCCUGAGAAAGAUGCCUUAACAAAUAGAGAAUAUCAAUAAGGAGACAGAAAUUAUAAAACAGAAAGAAACAGAAAUUCUAGAGCUAACAAGUCCAAUAACUGAAACCAGAAAGUCACUUGAGGAUGUUUUUCAAUGGCAUAUUUGAGCAGACAGAAUAGAGUCAGCAAACUUAAAGGCUGAAAUUAUACAUUCAAAGAAGCAGAAAGAAAAAAGGAUGAAGAAAAAUUAGCAGAGCUUAAGAGGUCUGUGAAACACUGCCAAAUGUACCAACAUGUACAUAAUGCAAGUCCCAGGAAGAGAGAAAAGAGAGAAAAAGAGGAAGAAAGAAUAUUUGAAAAAAUAAUGGCCUAAAACUAACCAUUUUUGAUAGAGGACAUGAAUCUAAAGACCUUUCCAAGAAGGAUAAACACAAGGAGAUCCACACCAAGACAAUCAAACUGUUGAAAGACUAAAGCAAAGAGAGAAUCUUGGAAGCAGCUAGAGAAAAACAAUUUAUUAGAUACAAGGAAUCCUCAAUAAGAUUGAUAAACAAUCAACAGAAACCAUAGAAAUCAGAAAGCAAUGGAAUAAAAUAUUUAAAGUAGUGAAAGAAGAAAAUGUCAACCAAAAAUUACAUAUCUGGCAAACUAUUCUUAUUCUUCCAAAAUAAAGGAGAAAUCAAGACAUUCCCAGACAAACAAAAGCUGGUAGACUUGCAUACAGGACAUACUAACGGAAGUACUUCAGGUUGAAAUAAAAGCAUACUGGAGAAUCACAUAAAGUCUAUGAAGACUUUAUGUGAUUAAAAAACACUGUAUAGGUAACUACAUAGGUAAAUACAAAGUCAGUAUUACUGUGUUUUUGGUCUGUAACCCUUACCUCUUUCCCUGUAUGAUCUAAAAGACAAACCCUUAAAACAUUAAUUAAAAAUCUAUGUUAAUGGGCAACAUUGUAUACAGAUGUAAUUUGUGACAACAGUAUAAAGAGGGAGGGACAGAGCUGUAUAGGAGCAAAGAUUUUGUAUACUAUUGAAGUUGAGGUGUUAUUAGUACCUUAUUGUACCAAUAAAUCGUUAUAAGAGGUUAAUUGUGAUCCCCAGGGAAACCACUAAGAAAAUAAUUUAAAGAAAUACAGAAAACGAAAUGAGAACAGAAUAAAAAUUGGACACUGUAAAGAACCAAAUAAUUGCAAAUAAGGCAGUAAUGAAGGACACAAGGAACAACAAAGACAUACACAAAGCAAGGAGCAAAAUGACAGAAAUUCUUCCUUAUCAGCAAUUACGUUUAAAUGGAUUAAAUUUUCCAAUUCAAAGGCAGAAAUUGGCAAAAUAGAUUCUUUAAAAAAAUUAUCCACUUAUAUGCUGUCUACUAGAGAUUCACUUGAAAGAGGUUAAAUGGCAUCUGUUUUACAACAAAGAGGGGGCACCUGGAUGUCUCAGUCGGUUAAGCAUCUGACUUUGGCUCAGGCCAUGAUCUGUGGUUCAUGAGUUUGAGCCCUGCAUUGGGCUCUGUGCUGACAGCUCAGAGCCCAGAACCUGCUUCAGAUCUGUGUCUCCCUCUCUCUCAGCCCCUCCCCUGCUUGCACUCUCUCUGUCUCUGUCUCUGUCUCUGUC